AUCGGCUUAAAUAAAUAGCAUCUCUGAGCGAUGGAGUUCUCUUAACUCUUUUUUAUUUUUAUUACAUUUCAAUUAUUUUUCUUUCUUCUUGUCAACAACCCUUUAGAAACCCAUGCCCCUUUUUAGCUAUUCAUAAUGGUGUGUUUUCUUCAAAUGGAUCUGUGGGAGAGCAAGAAAAGGAGACCACAUCCUAGUUUUUCAGGUUACAAGGAUGAAAAU
rnacentral:lncRNA from 1 species